AGCUCCGGGGUGUUACACGUCAGAUUGCAAAUCUGAAGAGGCAGAAUAAUCUUCUGCCGGGGCUU
rnacentral:tRNA from 2 species